CCUGGUGGUUAUGGCGGAGCGGCUGCACCCGAUCCCAUUCCGAACUCGGCCGUGAAACGCUCCAGCGCUGAUGGUACUUCGUCUNCGGCAACGCUUGAAGCUUACCGGUACUAAUAGUU
rnacentral:rRNA from 1 species